CAUUCGUAAGGAGCAUUCUUUGGGCAGAUAGGAGCCAAUGAAGGCCCCGUGCCCAUUGCGUUUACCGAAUCCGAGAGCCCGAGCAUGCUAAGUCGUGGACGAAGCCAUCGCAAGGCGAAGCCAGGACGACCUGGGACUAAACUGCAGCUUUUGGUUCACCCCGCACGUCGAACGCGAAGGUAGAAAGGCGACCGAUUGUGCUUCGUAAUGCCUUGGCAUUAGGUAUGCAACACAGAAAACCGACGUCGAACAAGCCUAAUUUGCGCUUGUGACAUGACUGAGAUGGCAUGCGAGCUAGGACGUNNNNNNNNNNNNNNNNNNNNNNNNNNNNNNNNNNNNNNNNNNNNNNNNNNNNNNNNNNNNNNNNNNNNNNNNNNNNNNNNNNNNNNNNNNNNNNNNNNNNNNNNNNNNNNCCCCGCCACGUCCCGGUUCAGGAAUUUUAACCCGAUUCCCUUUCGGAGUACGCGCGAAACGCGCUAUAUGUCGGGGUUCCCCCGACCCUUAGGAUCGACUAACCCAUGUGCAAGUGCCGUUCACAUGGAACCUUUCCCCUCUUCGACCUUCAAAGUUCUUAUUUUAAUAUUUGCUACUACCACCAAGAUCUGCACCGACAGUCGCUCCGCCCACGCUCACGCCCAAGGUUUUGCAGCGACCGCCGCACCCUCCUACUCAUCAGGGCCUAGCACUUGCCUCGACGGCCGGAUGUAGGUCGCGCUGUUAAGCGCCAUCAAUUUUCGGGGGUAGUUGAUUCAACAGGUGAGUUGUUACACACUCCUUAGUUGAUUUUGACUUCCAUGACCAUUGUCCUGCUGUCUUAAUCGACCAACACCCUUUGUGGGAUCUGGGUUAGCGUGCAGUUUGGCACCGUAACCCGGCUUCCGGUUCAUCCCGAAUCGCCAGUUCUGCUUACCAAAAUGGCCCACUUGGAGCUCUUGAUUUCGUGGCGCGACUCAACAAAGUAGCCGCACCGUUCUACCUAUUUAUAGUUUGAGAAUAGGUCGAGGGCGUUGCGCCCCCGAUGCCUCUAAUCAUUGGCUUUACCUGAUAGAACUCGCACGCGAGCUCCAGCUAUCCUGAGGGAAACUUCGGAGGGAACCAGCUACUAGACGGUUCGAUUAGUCUUUCGCCCCUAUACCAAUUCCGACGAACGAUUUACACGUCCGUAUCGCUGCAAGCCUCCACGAGAGUUUCCUCUGGAUUCGACCCACUCAGGCAUAGUUUACCAUCUUUCGGGUCCCGACAGGUAUGCUCACACUCGAACCCUUCACAGAAGAUCAAGGUCGGUCGGCGGUGCACCCCUUAGGGGGAUCCCACCAAUCAGCUUCCUUACACCAUACGAGAUUACUCGCCCGUUGACUCGCACACAUGUCAGACUCCUUGGUCCGUGUUUCAAGACGGGUCGAAUGGGGAGCCCGUAGGCCAGCGUCCGGAGCGCGCAGAUGCCGAAGCACGCCAGAGGCACAUGCUGCUUACCACAAUCAAGGAGACGACGUUCCACGAGCGUAUCAAAAGCCCGGGCUUUGGCCGCCUCCCAUUCCUUGCAGGUCCACACCCCGAGUCGAUCGGCGGACCGGGUGAACACCGUUCCACAUUCGACCGGGGCGCAUCGCCGGCCCCCAUCCGCUUCCCUCCCGACAAUUCAAGCACUCUUUGACUCUCUUUUCAAAGUCCUUUUCAUCUUUCCCCCGCGGUACUUGUUCGCUAUCGGUCUAUCGUACGUAUUUAGCCUUGGACGGAAUUCAUGGUGCGACAUGGUCCUCGUGGUGCGACAUGGUCCGAGCACAAUGGGGCUCUCAUCCUCUCUGGCGCCCCCUUCCAGGGGACUUGGGCCCGGUCCGCCGCUGAGGACGCUUCUCCAUACUACAAUUCAGACGACGGAGCCGCCCGAUUCUAAGGUUGGGCUGUUCCCGGUUCGCUCGCCGUUACUAGGGGAAUCCUUGUAAGUUUCUUUUCCUCCGCGUAUGGUUAUGCUUAAACUCAGCGGGUAGUCCCGCCUGACCUGGGGUCGCGAUCGGAGCGCCUAAGCGCGAUAUGGGUCGGGGAGCCCAAACAUGCGACAGGUUGGAGUCGCGACAUUGCGAGAGUUGAGUUUCAACCACCACUUGCCGUGACGUCCAUCGCUGUGGACUCGCAUUUAGGCCAACCGCACGCUAAAGGAGCACAGGAGGCCAGUAUCCGUCCCACGACAGCACCGCAACCAUGAGAAUGAGCGCGGUGUGCCCUCGGCCUAAUGGCUUCGAGCGCAACUUGUGUUCAAAGACUCGAUUGUUCACGAGAUUCUGCAAUUCACACUAAGUAUCACAUUUCGCUACGUUCUUCAUUGAUGCGAGAGCCGAGAGUCGUUUGUGUUUCAAAAGAAGCACAAGUCCCCCGUGCACGCCGCGAAUGGGGAGCGAAGGGCAGGCUUUAAAAUUAAUAUUCGUUGGCGCUUUCCGCGGCGGGGUUCGUUAAUCACCCGGCACGCACGCAAGUGCGCGCGUCGGGGAUACAGGAGGAAGCCGCACGGACGGAGGCCAUAGCAUCCUGGCCGCACCGCUCCCCAGUUUUUAAACAAGUUCGCGGGUCGUUCUGCCUUGCAGGUUUCGACAAUGAUCCUUCCGUAGGUUCACCUACGAAAACCCUGUUACGACAAUGUAUGCAGAGCUUAGGCUCGCUUUGAGCACUCUAAUUUCUUCAAAUUAAUAGCACCGGAGGCACGACCCGACCAAUUAAGGCCAGGAGCGCAUCGCCGGCAGAAGGGACGAGACGACCGGUGCACACCAAAGGCGGACCGNNNNCUCAAGGCUGCCUUGCCGACACUCCAGCCGCCUUGUCUUUGCUGUCUUGCCUAAGCCCAUCACCACUUAGACACUCGCCCAGCGCCAUACAUUGCUUCACGAGGACAUGUCAAGGGGCAAUGUACAAGCCCUUGACACGCAUUCUGUCCAACAUGCCUCAUGUCUCAUUUUGGGGGUCUAACAGUAGGCCACUAUCCUACCAUCGAAAGUUGAUAGGGCAGAAAUUUGAAUGAUGUGUAGCCAGUACGAUGGCCGUGCGAUCCGUCGAGUUAUCAUGAAUCAUCGCAGCAACGGGAAGAGCCCGCAUCGACCUUUUAUCUAAUAAAUGCAUCCCUUCCAGAAGUCGGGGUUUGUUGCACGUAUUAGCUCUAGAAUUACUACAGUUAUCCGAGUAGUAGAUACCAUCAAACAAACUAUAACUGAUUUAAUGAGCCAUUCGCAGUUUCACAGUCUGAAUUUGUUCAUACUUACACAUGCAUGGCUUAAUCUUUGAGACAAGCAUAUGACUACUGGCACGAUCAACCAGGUAUCAUUCCUCAUUAACGCCGGCAUCGCAUGAGCGUGGCCGACCCAAAAGGGCACGGCCAAGUCCAAGCCGAGCACGACCAUCAUUCGUAAGGAGCAUUCAUUUGGCUAAUAGAAGCCAAUGAAGGCCCCGUGCCCAUUGCGUUUACCGAAUCCGAAAGCCCGAGCAUGCUAAGCCGUGGACUAAGCCAUCGCAAGGCGAAGCUAGGGCAACCUGGGUCACAACUGCAGCUUUUGGUUCACCCCGCACGUCAAACGCGAGGGGCAAAAGGCGACCGAUUGUGCUUGAUAAUGCCUUGGCAUUAGUUAUGCAACACAGAAAACCGACGUCGAACAAGCCUAAUUUGCGCUUGUGACAUGACUGAGAUGGCAUGCGAGCUAGGACGUCGCUGCUCGAGCAGCUAGGACGUCACUUCUCGAGUAGGGAUCCAACCUAGACACACAAGCCGAACACCACUCAUGUGUCGCAUGUAUACUUGCCUCGCCGAUACAAAGCAAACACCAGCCCCAACACGUGACGCACAGCCAUGUGUUGUUGCCGAUGCCAACAUUGCAAAGCCAAGACAAGCCCCUCAAAGCACGAAU
rnacentral:lncRNA from 1 species